UGGAGAGACUGGAAAACUUCCCCUCAAUUUUUCUGUGAUGUUGAGUAAUUCUCCUGCUGCUUCCCACCUCACUGUGUUCUUAAUUAUCAGCUUAUAACGCCACU